rnacentral:lncRNA from 10 species
CCUGGGAGGUGGUUCUGGCCCCCAGGCGGGGUGAGUGGAGCGGGGUCCGCACGGCCUCGCAGGCGCAGGUUGUUUCUCUCCCCUGGAUGCCUGUGGGGGUGGGGACGGCAGAGCCUCGGACACUGCCCGGGGAUCACUCUCAGGCUACUUUUCCCACCCUGCCAAGCUGCUCGAGACGUCAAAGGAGACCAGGCCGGUCAGCACACAGGCUUCUGGUAAGUGCCGCCCUCCGGUCUGGGAGCUCAGCUCUCCCCUUCUGACUCACCGCUCGGCGCUGACUCAUCGUGACGGCGAGUGGGGCUCCAGCUCCGCGGCAUUUCAUAGACAGCGCGGUCACAUUCCUUUCCAACAGUCGCUCUGGCCUCGAUGUCUAAGGCUCCGUGGGCAGCCGGCCUGUGGAUGAGGCGGCGGAAACCACAUCCUCUUCAUCAUCCUCUCACGAGGAAGGACACUGACAGCUUCGGAGAAGGCUGCCCAGUGUCUGCGGGUGCCCUUGGGAGAUGGCCUUGGGACACGGUGCCUGUGCCUGUGUGUGUACACCACGUGUGAACGCCAACUGGGAACACGGCCCCUUCGUAGGCAAACCCAGGCCUCCUGGAAGUCACAAGUUGAUAGCUGUACUCGCCCCUUUUGGAAGACGCACGCCCAAGGCACCCGUGUGUGCACACGUAUCCGUGUGUGGACCUCUGUCCACACGUGUGUGUUUUGAAAAGCCUUUCUCA